UUCUGGAGCUGAUGAUGCUGAGGCGAUUUUUUUGAAUUUCCAGUCAAAUUUUUUAGGUCGUAAAGGAUAUUUGCCUCGUUGGCGCCUUUUUUAAACUCCAUUUUAAAAAAUAAAUACAGAAAAUAAAAGAAGCUACAAAUUUAUCAUUGAUUCAAGAAGCUAAAGAUUUAUUAUUGAUUCAAGAAGCUAAAGAUUUAAAAAUACAG